UUUUACACUUCAACGCCCAGGGUUAAUUGCACUCACGUAUGCUAAGGUUGCAAGGAUGAGGGUGAAACUGGCAAGCAAAUUAUUCUUAAAGUACGCACAACUUAUUUUACUUGGAUUUUAGAAGAACCAUCUAGCUCAUAGAGUUCCUAACACACCUAAUUAAUAUGAACUAAUCACAACCCGUGAGGGCACAUCCUCCUUUAUAACCGUUGUGUGCGUACAAUUGAACGGACAUAAAGGAAAUGCAAAGGAGCCCAAGUAUCCACAGACUCCGGGAUUUCUAAAUCGGGCGUUGCAGAGGGCGUACUGACCAACGGACGCUAUUCAAAAUCAAAUGCAGUCCUCAACGUCAAACAUUAUCGCCCUGGGGCCAGUUUCGAGCAUGUGCAGUUGAAUUAAUGUGUGCUCUCAAUUUGCAUGUGUAUUUAUCUGUCUGUGUUAAAUUAGGAAUCAAAAGCAUUCACUGAAAUAAAUUGAUAUAUAUUUGAAAUUUGA